AGUCGAGCGGUAGAGAGGAGCUUGCUUCUCUUGAGAGCGGCGGACGGGUGAGUAAUGCCUAGGAAUCUGCCUAGUGGUGGGGGAUAACGUUCGGAAACGGACGCUAAUACCGCAUACGUCCUACGGGAGAAAGCGGGGGAUCUUCGGACCUCGCGCCAUUAGAUGAGCCUAGGUCGGAUUAGCUAGUUGGUGAGGUAAUGGCUCACCAAGGCGACGAUCCGUAACUGGUCUGAGAGGAUGAUCAGUCACACUGGAACUGAGACACGGUCCAGACUCCUACGGGAGGCAGCAGUGGGGAAUAUUGGACAAUGGGCGAAAGCCUGAUCCAGCCAUGCCGCGUGUGUGAAGAAGGUCUUCGGAUUGUAAAGCACUUUAAGUUGGGAGGAAGGGUUGUAGAUUAAUACUCUGCAAUUUUGACGUUACCGACAGAAUAAGCACCGGCUAACUUCGUGCCAGCAGCCGCGGUAAUACGAAGGGUGCAAGCGUUAAUCGGAAUUACUGGGCGUAAAGCGCGCGUAGGUGGUUCGUUAAGUUGGAUGUGAAAGCCCCGGGCUCAACCUUGGAACUGCAUCCAAAACUGGCGAGCUAGAGUACGGUAGAGGGUGGUGGAAUUUCCUGUGUAGCGGUGAAAUGCGUAGAUAUAGGAAGGAACACCAGUGGCGAAGGCGACCACCUGGACUGAUACUGACACUGAGGUGCGAAAGCGUGGGGAGCAAACAGGAUUAGAUACCCUGGUAGUCCACGCCGUAAACGAUGU
rnacentral:rRNA from 1 species